ACACGCACAUGUGCUGUACAUGUACACACAUGUAUUUGUUUACAAUUGUGCAGCCUUUCAAGGUCGUUCUUAUUGUGCGCACCGUGUAAUCACGCUUUAGUUUCGUCGGAUCAAGGAACGAUGUAUUUGUUAUGGCAUGCAUUUAUAAUUCAUGGUCAUGAGUGGGUUUUAAUUCGGUCGUGACAAAGCAUGAAUUCUGCUGACGGAAUUAGGGUCAGUUUUGAGACCCAGUUCAAUGCAGACACACAGACCAAGUACUUAGCUGUAUGUGGGUCUCUGGAUGUCCUGGGGAACUGGGAGGUAGAAAGAGCGGUCGUUGCAGGUAACCGAAAUUACGUAGUGUACAAAGUCGAGAAAGACUUUGAUAUGUUCAUGUAAUUGCGUAGUAGCAUGCCUACGGCUGAUGAAUUUGGCAAAUUUAUAUAGAUAUAGAAUAAGCUAUUGCACUCAUGUAUCUUUUCAAAUCCGCCCCUUUUUUCAUUGAAUGGACGUCACAAUAAUGAAGUUUGUGUAUUGUGACGUUGUGAAGCACUAUGACGUCGCAAUCAUUGUGUGAUAUCCUAUUGGAUAGUGACCGACUUCUUUCAAAAUACUUUUACCACCAUGGUUGGGUUACAGGUAGACUGUGAUUAUUCAUUAUCACAGAAAGGAUUAGCUCUCGCAAUUAUUGGAUCUAUUGCAGAACUUGGCAAAUGGGAUAUUAGAAAUGCAAAACUAGCAGGUAAUCGAUUGUAAAAUAACAAUCCAUUCGAUAAUACGAUUGUUUCCCGACGAUAAUAAAUUGAAUUUUUAAAAAUAUAAAAAAUGUAUACAUUCAAAUAGAUUUCGCAUGGAAUCAUUGUAGUUGCUUGCACAUAUUUCAGAUCAUGGCAAGAUAGUAAAGAUUAGCAUUAUACUAGGUAUAAAUGCACUAUUUAUUUUAUUUGGAGUAUCUUCGAAAGAUAGGAAACACAAGAAAAUUUGAUAAAACACCUACCUCCCUAAAAUAUGAAUCUGAACACAUCUAGUAAAAUUCU
rnacentral:misc_RNA from 1 species